rnacentral:rRNA from 1 species
UACGGGGGGGGCAAGCGUUGUUCGGAAUUACUGGGCGUAAAGGGUUCGUAGGUGGCUUGCUAAGUCAGACGUGAAAUCCCUCAGCUUAACUGGGGAACUGCGUCUGAGACUGGUGAGCUUGAGUGCAGGAGAGGAACGCGGAAUUCCAGGUGUAGCGGUGAAAUGCGUAGAUAUCUGGAGGAACACCGGUGGCGAAGGCGGCAUCCUGGACCGAUACUGACGCUGAGGAGCGAAAGCCAGGGGAGCAAACGGG